ACCUUCUGGGAUAGCUCAGUUGAUAGAGCUUGAGACUCUUAAUCUCAGGGUUGUGGGUUUGAGCCCUACUUUGGGCA
rnacentral:tRNA from 1 species